CAUUACUGAAUAAUCCAUCUCCUUCCCCUGGAUUCAAGUGUGACCUGAGUGAGUUGACCUUCAAAGCCAACGCAUACUGAGGCCUCCGCAGACCACAUUUCAAAACGAGUGACCAGGCCCAGCUGAGAAGGGGCCGGCAGAGACUCCGCUCGCUGCAGACUGUCGGAGCCAGAACACUGCUCCAGAGACGUCUCAGAAAACGUGAAGCAUAGUUCUUUUAAAGAAUGGCUUCAAGGGUCCCUCGUGGAACUUUUCCCGGAGAAGAUCCAGGCCUGGCCUCCUGUGUUCACUCUGCCAGCUCAGCAGGUGACCAGCAGGAGCUCUGUCACUUUAACUCCAGGGCCCACUGCCCCAGCCAGUUAAAAAAGGAAGAACGUCCAGCUCAACCUGAAUGUGUUCAGCCUUCCACAAAGCAUACCAGCCAUUCCCAUUUAGUUUUAUUACCAUCACCAACCCCUGAAUGAUAAUUUCUCCAACUGCCCAGCUGUGUCUUCCUAUUUAUGGUCCACUGAGACUGGUGCAUUGUGGGGAAUUAGAACGUGUCCUAGCCGUGACUGUGGGCAAAGAGCAGAGAGCGAAUGAGAAGCUGAAAAAAAGAAACCGAGUGAAAACCGACAAAGCUAAAUGCAAUUUCAGAAACCAGCUGUCAAUGCUUCUGAUAAAUUUAGGAAAUGUUUAACUUCAUGGUUUUAACAAGAGAUGCAAACAUGUCCCGUGUAUUAUUAGUCAGAGCCCUUAGAUUGUAAGUAACAGAAACAACCUUGGCUUAAGCAAAAAGGAGGUAGUCAUUAUAUAAAAGGAUGUUUUGAACGAACCCAAGGUCAAUGCACAGUCACCUGGGAGAGGGCGGGCCUUGGGAGAGGAAAUGCUCUCGCAACUGGCGGAGAUGUUCCCUCUCCAGCUCUCCUCUGGUCCAUGUGGUAGCAACAGCCACCCCGCACUGAGUUGUUCUUCCAGGAACAGCCACCUGCCGAGCCAGUGAACCUAGACCUGCCAGGCGUCCAGCCGUGGUCAGGCGGCCAGCCUAGCAGAGCCAGAGCUGCCAGGACACACCUCAGGGAGACCUCGGUGAGAGGAGGGGACGGAACCCCCAGUUCCCAGGAAUACAUUACCCAUUACCCAACCUUUGCAUAAAAGCACUGCAUGGCUGGCCGAGCAGUUCUGCUCUGAGACAGAUGUGAUGGAACUCGGGAGGGGUACAAGAAGAAGAGAGCAGGAGGGGAAGGCUCUGUGGUCCGAACAAGGUGGGGCAUGCCUGCAAUCGGGUUCCUCGUCACUAGAGCUACGGAGGUGGACCUGCUAGCUAGCGCUGGUCCAUCUGCAGGACUUCCUCUACCUGUCUGUGCACACACAUACACCAUACGUGCAAAUAAUCAUGUUUUACAUACAGCCGAGUCAUCUCCUUUUGUCCGCACUUUUCACGUUGUCAACAACUGUUUCCUGGCCGUGAAACACUGCGGUGCAUCAUCACUUCACAUGGUUCCACCUAUACCGUCUUCUAAAACACUGCUAGUGCACAUGCAUUAUUUCUCACAGUAGGAAAAGAAAUGGUUUAAGAGAAAGCCCAAUUUCCUUGUAUGCUGGGGAAAAGCAGCAAAACAGUACUGAGUACAGACCUACCUUCUGUAUUAAAAGCUUUAUUUGGGUGUGACUUGCCUGGUAGAAUUCAUUCAAGGAAAAAGGGAACGUUUAUGAAGCUCCUACUAAGUGCCAGGUUGUGAGAGAGGAACUGUAGAAGUGAGCAAUUUUGUCUCCAUGGCAAUCCCUAUCCCAUGUGAUGAUGGUGGGGCUGUUGACCAUGGUGUCCUGCAGCACAUGACCUGGACUUAGCCAAUCACAGUCCCCUGAAUGCACUGAUUGGUCCAGGAGGUGGGUGCGCAUCCCUAGUUAGGUCCAUCACAGGCCUUCCUCCAGGACUGGUAUGGACUCUGGGAUAAAGAGGCCCUCUCUUUGCUGGGGUUACUAACCUGGGACACUGGAUCUGGAGCAGCUAUUAGCCAUCAGGCAGGCCUUGUGACAACCCCAUGUGUGGAAGGAGGGGGACACAGAGGAAAAGCACAGCCAAGAUGUCAAGACAUGGCAAGAGAAAGACCCUGGCUUUCUUGUGCCUAAAGCACUUCUUCUUCCUCAUCUCCCAGGUGUGUGAGCCAACGGUUACUUGAUUUUUCUCAUCAACAUUAAUGGGCAUCCGCUUUCCAUCACUUACAACCAAGAGUUCUAACUGACACGGGCACAGAAAGAGAACAUGGUCCUCCCAACAGUCCCAAGGGAAAGCUGUUAGCAUCCACAUUUUAAGACAGAAAACCUGAGGCUCAGAAGGAAAAUAAUGUGCAAAAAUUCAGCAACUUGUGUGAGCCCAAGGUCUGACUACAAGCUCCCUUCCCUUACAUGGGCACAGCGUGGUGAUGGCGGACGUGCCUACUCUGCUGGGUACAACCGCUGGAGGUGGGACCACACAGGGCUCUGAAUAUGAAGGUCACUGAGCUCUGCAGGUGGGCUGAAGACCCACCACGGAACCCUUGGAGCUGUCCAGGCCUCUGCUGUCCACCAUUUGGGGGCAACAGCCAAGCCGGCAGCUCCCAGAAGCUAACCAAGCAUCGCGGGCUCUGGGGAGGAACACGUUUGGGGAGCCCCUGGGUCAAACGCAGGAGAGGGACUGUGUUUACUCAGCUGGUGACUUGCACAGACCUCUCAUCACCCUCUCGAUUUCUGUUCCUGAGAUCACAGCUUUGCCACGGAUGUUCCUUCCCCAGCGCUCGCUGCCUCCAAAGUUUCACCAAGGCCAAAGCUUUUACCUUCUACACCCCAGGGGCCUGCAAGUUGGGAAGAGCCAGGGCUCAGCCCCAAGCACACAUGAUCUGCAGGAACCAAAUGAUGGGUGAGGGUGCCAGAGGGAGGUGACCUCAGCAAGUGACAACGGGAGGCUGUGUGGCACAAAGAUUGCAACCCAGGCCCAGCCCUGAGCCGGGGCCUGAUUCCAGGACAGUCUGACCUUUGUGGUCCUUUGGCCCCCAGCUCUGAAAUGAGAGCCUAGACUAGAUUAUCCUAGUCGCCAGGGUCACGCCCAACACAAGUGUUCCGUGACCAUGGUCUCCACGUCUGCCAGUUCAGGAGAGAAAGAGAUGGGAGAAUCUGGAGGGGAUCUGUGGUCAGUGAGAGACGAGGCCAGUUUCACUGCAGCUGGGCAGGGACUCGUGGCUGCCGGGCAGCUGCAGAGACCCCGGGAAGAGCACCCAAAGCCCUGUCUAGCCUGGACAGAAGACAGGACUUGGCUGAAGCCUCACCAUCAGAAAACAGGGCACCAGCACUUCCCUGUUUCUGGAAUAGCCAAGGGCAGACACCAAGAAGAAUGACAGUCCUCUCCACCCACCACUCCUGUGGGACCAGCUGAGAUGCACCUAAGAGCAGAUCACAGAAGCUGGGCUAACGCCCCACGCCUUCAGCCCGAAAGUUGUCCGCAAGUUACUCUAACACUAGCCACACUGAUGCGUCUAGAGGCUGGUCGAUAAACUCGGACACGUGAGGCAUGGCGUUCCCUUUCUUCUGGGGCUGCAUCUUCACCACGGAAGAAACCACCUGGCCUUGAGACUCUUCUCCCAAAACAGAAAUGGUCUCAUCACCCAUGGGGGAUCCUAUGGGCUGAAAAAGGGUGAAUCUAUGGGCCCGCUUUCAGGGAUAUAUUUGUAUUUACAAAAUUCUGCCUGUGGUUUCAAGGUUCAAAGGCCAAAAGACCCAUUUUUGGACUGCUUGGGAAGAGUUGUCCACAGGCACAGGGUAAGACCUGGUGUUUAAUUGUUCAGGUUUUUUUGGGGGGGUUACUAUUUUUAAAUACUUACUAUAAAAAUGAAAUGUUUUCAUAUAAAAAAGUAUAAAAUUAUAAGACCACCAAAACUUUGCACCCACAAAUAUCUACUCUGAAUACUUUGGGGACCAUCCUUCCGGAUUCCUCAGUACAUGCACGGCUUUACCUAAAUGGGGCUGUCCGACCCACACUGGCUUUUGGUCUGCUUUCUGGGCAUCUCCCCCAGCAAAGCUGAGGCUCACCAGCCCCUUACAUUAUUUAGAAAAACAGAACUGUAGGUUAAAUAUCCAAACAGCACUCUAGAGAGGCCAAAACCAUUUGUGCUCCAGGGGAUUGUAAAUUUGAGGGUCUUCUCGGGGACACUGCCCCCCUGAGGGCUCGGAUGGCAGGACACAGGUACCU